rnacentral:lncRNA from 1 species
CAGGUAGUGACUACUUUCCAAGAAAGGGGGGCGAUGGAAUACACUAUUGUGGUAGCUGAAAUGGCGGAUUCCCCUGCUACAUUACAAUACCUCGCUCCUUAUACAGGAGCCGCUCUGGCGGAAUAUUUUAUGUACCGUGAACGACACACUUCAAUCAUUUAUGAUGAUCCCUCCAAACAAGCACAAGCUUAUCGACAAAUGUCUCUUCUAUUACGAAGACCGCCCGGUCGCGAAGCUUAUCCAGGGGAUGUUUUUUAUUUGCAUUCACGCCUUUUGGAAAGAGCUGCUAAAUUAAGUUCUCGUUUGGGUGAAGGAAGUAUGACUGCUUUGCCAAUAGUUGAAACUCAGUCGGGAGAUGUUUCGGCUUAUAUUCCUACUAAUGUAAUUUCGAUUACUGAUGGACAAAUAUUCUUAUCUGCCGAUCUAUUCAAUGCUGGAAUCAGACCUGCUAUUAAUGUGGGUAUCUCCGUUUCCAGAGUGGGAUCUGCAGCUCAAAUUAAAGCUAUGAAACAAGUCGCUGGCAAAUUAAAAUUGGAACUGGCGCAAUUCGCAGAAUUAGAAGCCUUUGCACAAUUUGCUUCUGAUCUCGAUAAAGCUACUCAGAAUCAAUUGGCAAGAGGUCAACGAUUACGUGAAUUGCUCAAACAAUCCCAAUCAGCCCCUCUCACGGUGGAAGAACAGAUAAUGACUAUUUAUACCGGAACAAAUGGUUAUCUUGAUUUAUUAGAAAUUGGACAGGUAAGGAAAUUUCUUGUUGAGUUACGUACUUACCUAAAAACUAAUAAACCGAAGUUUCAAGAAAUCAUAUCUUCUACUAAGACAUUCACCGAGGAAGCAGAAGCCCUUUUGAAAAAAGCUAUUCAGGAACAGACGGAAUGUUUUAUACUUCAGGAACAAGCAUAAAGAAAUUGAUAAAAGUUCUCAACAAAAGGAUAAUCAAGCGUCUCGCAUUCAAAUCUUUCAAAAGGGCUUCCAAAAUCUAAAAAAAAUAAAUGGAAAUAAAUUGCGUCCAAUAGCAUUUCGUGAUUCAUUGGUAAAUCUACUUUGAUUCUCUAUCAACCAAUAAUGUGGGACCGUUAAACAUGGUUAAAGCUAAAUUGCUUGAAGUCCAGACCCAGCAUUGUACUCUUUCUACCACUAUAUUAAUACUAAUAUAAAGAUGCUUUCAAAAAUGAAUAGUUUAUCGAUAUAGAACACUCAUAUGGAUAAAACCUUUUGAACCACCUAUUAUAAAAUUAGAAAAUAAGGGGGAUGAAAUCCCCAUUUUUAUCCAAUGCUGAAUCGACGACCUAUGUAUUGUGUAUAAAGAAAGAAAAACUUUUUGGAUUUGAAAAAAAAAGAAACAACUUUGCUGACAAUUACAUAUUUUUGUUUGGUCAGAAGAGUCCUUCGACUAUUUUGGUUUUGGAUGAGUGAUUAGUUUCGACGAUAUUUUUAUUUUAUUUUUGAAUAUGAAGAGAGAAUAGAGGAUAGGCUCAUUACAUUCAAAAAAAGAUAUGGGAAUUUACCAUAAGUAAUUGAGUGUGAGAGCCAAAUGAAUCGAAAGAUUCAUGUUUGGUUCGGGAAGGGAUCAUGGAAGUUUUAAAUGAAUGGAAAGAGAAUCUACUUUGAUUAAGUGAUUUAUUAGAUAAUCAAAAACAUAGGAUUUUGAAUACUAUUCGAAAUUCUGAAGAACUUCGUGAAGGGGCCAUUGAACAGCUGGAAAAAGCCCGGGCGCGCUUACGAAAAGUGGAAAUGGAAGCAGAUCAGUUUCGGGUGAGUGGAUAUUCUGAGAUAGAGCGAGAAAAGUGGAAUUUUAUUAAUUCAACUUCUAAGACUUUGGAACAACUAGAAAAUUACAAAAACGAAACUAUUCAUUUUGAACAACAAAGGGCGAUUCAUCAAGUCCGACAACUGAUUUUCUAACAAGCCUUACAAUGGGCUCUAGGAACUCUGAUUAGUUGUUUGAACAACGAGUUACAUUUACGUACCAUCAGUGCCAAUAUUGGCAUCUUGGGGGUGAUGAAAGAAAUAACUGAUUAGUCCUUCUACUCUAGGUAUCAUUUUUUUUUCAAAAAUGAAUUAAGAAAUACUCAUGGUAACCAUUCGAGCCGACGAAAUUAGUAAUAUUAUCCGUGAACGUAUUGAGCAAUAUAAUAGAGAAGUAAAGAUUGUAAAUACCGGUACCGUACUGCAAGUAGGCGACGGCAUUGCUCGUAUUCAUGGUCUUGAUGAAGUAAUGGCGGGUGAAUUAGUAGAAUUUGAAGAGGGUACGGUAGGGAUUGCUCUGAAUUUGGAAUCAAAUAAUGUCGGUGUUGUAUUAAUGGGCGAUGGUUUGCUGAUACAAGAAGGAAGUUCUGUAAAAGCAACAGGAAGAAUUGCUCAGAUACCCGUGAGUGAGGCCUAUUUGGGUCGUGUUGUAAAUGCCCUGGCUAAACCUAUUGAUGGUAGAGGUGAAAUUUCAGCUUCUGAAUAUCGGUUAAUUGAAUCUCCCGCUCCAGGUAUUAUUUCACGACGUUCAGUAUACGAGCCUCUUCAAACGGGGCUUAUUGCUAUUGAUUCUAUGAUCCCUAUAGGACGUGGUCAGCGAGAAUUAAUUAUUGGGGACAGACAGACCGGUAAAACAGCAGUAGCAACAGAUACGAUUCUCAAUCAACAAGGCCAAAAUGUAAUAUGUGUUUAUGUAGCUAUUGGUCAAAAAGCAUCUUCUGUGGCUCAGGUAGUGACUACUUUCCAGGAAAGGGGGGCGAUGGAAUACACUAUUGUGGUAGCUGAAAUGGCGGAUUCCCCUGCUACAUUACAAUACCUCGCUCCUUAUACAGGAGCCGCUCUGGCGGAAUAUUUUAUGUACCGUGAACGACACACUUCAAUCAUUUAUGAUGAUCCCUCCAAACAAGCACAAGCUUAUCGACAAAUGUCUCUUCUAUUACGAAGACCGCCCGGUCGCGAAGCUUAU